AAAGAUUUAUACGCCCUCAAUUUAUCUUUACAGCGCUGCCGUUGGUCACCGGCCCGCUUGUCGGACGGCUGGCUACUUAGCGAGGAAAUGAGUCCAACAGAGGACAGCGCUGAGUCACGGUCCCUCUGCCUCACUCCUCGCCGCUAGGAGACGACUUCACCGGGAGGAGAGCAGGCGUUAGCUAGCUAGUCAGGCUCCGGACAAGCUAGCUAGCUAACUAGUCAAUUCUGUAGACAGACUAGCUAGCUAGCGUUUGCCAGCCGUGUCCUCCUCCUGCAGUAGUCUCCAGCGGCGUAGGGGUCGGCUAAUCUGGUCCUGUUGGUUCAUGUUAAACUUAACGCUCCGCCCACUAAAAUCCGUCACCAUGGUUACUAACAGAGAAGGAGUCUGAUUGGUUAAUACAACUUCAUAUUGGGAGGCUUGUUCAGAACAUAAAAGAAAACAAAGCCACGCAGACGUAUCCAAACACCCGUUAGCAUGUUCCAGCCCCUGAACCUACAGUACCAGUACAGGUAGCGGUACCGGUGUGAACUGAACGGGUUUCAGGUAUUUGAGGCCAGGCAGGUGCUGUCCACGUCUCCGACUGCUCCAGGUGCUCCAUGUCGUUUUCUUUUGACCAGUUCAACCAGUCCGUCUGGAGAUCCGGAGUUAACAGAACCAGUGUUGAUUCAAGCAGACGAUUAUCCAGAACUAUACGACGAAGGUCGACCCUGGUCCGUUCUGACAGAUGUUCAGGGUUCUUAAACCGAUCCGACACCUGGGACCCCUGAACCUCAACGUUUCACCGUCACUGAGUUCAGUACUUAAGAUCCGUGGCGCUACCGGUGGUGAACCUGGCGCUCUGUUUUUGGUGUUUUAACGCUCCACUCUGAACCUUCAACAAUCACCGUUAACAUCAACAGAACUUCAGAACCUUCAGCAAGAACGUUUCCUUGUUUUUGUCCGUUUCAGCCGACCAGACGACGCUUUGACUCUUUUUUCUGUUUACGUCACCAAACCUGCCAAAACGAAGCUCAGACCUGAUUAUCUUGUAUUAUUUUGUGUUUGUUUGUCGGUUAGUUUGGUUAGUUGACACGGUAAACACGGUCAUGUUCUUUCUUCUUCUUCUUGCCUUAAGGUGCGGUCACAUUCGCUCUACGUUCAACAGAACCUGCCCGCCACUCAGACCCGCGGCGGCGGUCUGGUAACAAUAAUGGCGUCCACAUUUCAAACCUAAAACAGGAAAUUCCUGGUUGAAUCAGUCUUUUAUUGAAGUGAUUGAGAGGCGGAGCUAGUGUCGGUAGGACAGAGGCGGAGCUAGUGUCGAUAGGACGGAGGCGGAGCUAGUGUCGGUAGGACAGAGGCGGAGCUAGUGUCGAUAGGACAGAGGCGGAGCUAGUGUCGGUAGGACAGAGGCGGAGCUAGUGUCGGUAGGACGGAGGCGGAGCUAGUGUCGGUAGGACAGAGGCGGAGCUAGUGUCGGUAGGACGGAGGCGUCAUGUGACCGCACCUUUACUCGAAGCCAGCAACAGCUUUCUGCUCGUCAACGGUUUCACCUCAAACAACGUUUAUUUGAACCGGCUCUCUGAUGAUGACGACAGAUGUGGUUAAACAUCAACCCGAUAAACAUUUCAACAUGAUUACCAUUCGCUAAGCCCCGCCCCCCCCCUUAGUUACUGUUGCUAACCAGACCACAGCACGCGUUCAUUUUACCACAACAGAAGAACAGUAUUUAAAUGGGUCCUUUUAUUUCUAACCGCCGUCGGUUUGAAAACGGUCUCUUUAUUGACUUAUCAACUAGCUAGCUAGCGAGCUAAUUAAGCUAACGUUAGCUCUACAAGGUCUCCGACUGACUUUUUAAUGUUUCAAGCUGACUUGUUUUAAAACAACAACCCAGUAAAGAGGUCUUAAAUGUGAACUUGAUAUCAUGCUGACAGACUGAUGCCGAAGCUAACAGAUCAUGCUAACGGACUAAGGCUAAAGCUAACAGGUCAUGCUAACGGACUGAUGCUAAAGCUAAUAGGUGAUGAUAUCAUGCUAACAGACUAAGGCUAAAGCUAACAGGUCAUGCUAACGGACUGAUGCUAAAGCUAAUAGGUGAUGAUAUCAUGCUAACAGACUAAGGCUAAAGCUAACAGGUCAUGCUAACGGACUGAUGCUAAAGCUAACAGGUCAUGCUAACGGACUGAUGCUAAAGCUAAUAGGUGAUGAUAUCAUGCUAACAGUCUGAGGCCAAAGCUAACAGGUCAUGCUAACAGACUGAGGCUAAAGCUAACAGGUCAUGAUAUCGUGCUAACAUACUGAUGCUAAAGCUAACAGGUCAUGCUAUCAUGCUAACAGACUGAUGCUAAAGCUAACAGAUCAUGCUAUCGUGCUAACAGACUGAUGCUAAAGCUAACAGAUCAUGCUAUCGUGCUAACAGACUGAUGCUAAAGCUAACAGAUCAUGCUGUCGUGCUAACAGACUGAUGCUAAAGCUAACAGAUCAUGCUGUCGUGCUAACAGACUGAUGCUAAAGCUAACAGAUCAUGCUGUCGUGCUAACAGACUGAUGCUAAAGCUAACAGGUCAUGCUAUCAUGCUAACAGACUGAUGCUAAAGCUAACAGAUCAUGCUAUCGUGCUAACAGACUGAUGCUAAAGCUAACAGAUCAUGCUGUCGUGCUAACAGACUAAUGCUAAAGCUACCUGUGACUAGUUACUGUUGCUGAGAUAUGAUUGGACAAUCACCGUUUGGGGGCGGGGUUUAGAGAACGUCACUAUGGAAACUGAAACUAAACGGAUGUUUGAUCAGGAACUCUCGGAGCAGAAUGUUGUUGUGGUUCACUUUCAGGUUUCAGUUUCAGUUUCAGCUCAGCGGUCCAUAAACACCCCCCCCACCCCCCCACGGUUCUUUUAUUAUUUCCCUCCUUCUUGUUUUAUAAUUAAAUAAAAACACUGUAAAGGUGAAUAAACUAUUUAUAAACAGCU